rnacentral:lncRNA from 1 species
CACAUACUUGCUGUUUUGGGGCCAUAGAUUUGAAAUGUGUCCUCUUAGUGCCUGUGACAUACACGUGCGUCAUUGCUGUGCAGGAGGCAGGGGAAUGGGGGGCCAGGGAGUGGGGAGCUGGAGUCACAGGACCCAAAGUGACAGGUGCAUGGAGGAAUGAGCUUUUUAUUUAUUCAUUACUUUCAUGUCCCCAUGCAGCAGUCACAGAAAAAAAAAACAUGGUGUUGAAAGGCUCAGGGUGCUCGCCCACAUCAGUGAGGGAGGUGCAGCUGAUGAAGGAAGUGCUGGGUGCAGAAGGGGAUGCUCUGAAAUGGUGGCUUCUGUUUGCAGUUUCAAAGCUCAGGCUAACAGUUUUGCUGAUGAAGACCAGCUGCCACCUCUUCCACCAAGAGGGAAAUGUCUGUUGAGUGGAUGGAGUCCACCAUGAGCAGGUCUGAAGCAGGAGGCGGCAGCGGGAGGCUGAUUCUCACCAUUGCUCACUGGACUCAAUUAUCUGCUUCAGAAUAUGAAUGAUGUGCUUCCUACACAGAAUGAAAACGCUGCAUGCGAUUGCAUGACUUGUGAGUAAACAUCACGAAACCAGAGUUUAGAAAUGAAAAAUGCUCCAGGC